rnacentral:rRNA from 1 species
UACGAAGGGGGCUAGCGUUGCUCGGAAUCACCGGGCGUAAAGCGCACGUAGGCGGCUUUCUAAGUCAGGGGUGAAAUCCUGGAGCUCAACUCCAGAACUGCCUUUGAUACUGGAGAGCUCGAGUUCGGGAGAGGUGAGUGGAACUGCGAGUGUAGAGGUGAAAUUCGUAGAUAUUCGCAAGAACACCAGUGGCGAAGGCGGCUCACUGGCCCGAUACUGACGCUGAGGUGCGAAAGCGUGGGGAGCAAACAGG